UGAACUCAUACAUCGUGUGUACAAACUCACUUUAGCCAGGACUCUGUCCUCUCCUUACGUACCCCUCACCUCUACUAUCAGGCUCGUUCCCAUGACACACUACAAGGGGGUGCCCCCCUCUCGGUCCUAGUCCAGAAACACCCAUGCCCCCUGACGAGAUGACUCACAUUAUUCCACGGCCAUGGAACCUUCUUCCCAAUCCCUCUACUUGGGGUGUACUUGAUAAUAGGUUUACGACCUACUACAGUGUAUUUCCUUCUGAAAAGACCUAUGAUAGUACAAAAAGUAAGGUGAUGCACUGACAAGACUCGAUCUAUGCCGACACUGGAGUUGUUAAAUACAUCCACACUGUGUCAUGCAUCCGACAUGAUUAGGCCACAACCUAUCACGUCCCACGUGACUAGGCUAUUCACGACCUUCAUUAUCACAUUGGUGGUCAUCUUAGU
rnacentral:lncRNA from 1 species